AUGGCGACGACGGCUGCGGCGUACGGCUGCUCGGCGGCGCCGGCGCUUUCGCUCCCGGGGAGCCCCUUCGCCCGUCGCUCGCCCCCGUCCCGCGUUCACCUCGCCUCCUCCAAUCCCAAGCUCGGGAAGCCCGUUCCCAGCAGCCUGAGGGCUUCAUAUCGUCGUAGGCGACCGUAUGUCUGCGCGUGCUCCGGCGAGGUUGGUCCAGACGCCUCGGCGGCGUCACCGGCGGAAGCUAGUUUUGAUAUAAAGCUUCCUAGAAGAAGCUUGCUUGUUCAGUUUACAUGUACUAAAUGUGAUGCAAGGACAGAGCGUUUGAUAAACAGGGUGGCCUAUGAAAGAGGAACCGUUUUUCUUCAGUGCGCUGGGUGCCAGGUGUAUCACAAGUUUGUUGACAAUCUUGGCCUAAUUGUCGAGUAUGACCUACGAGAAGAAAAUGGGGUGAACACUUGUACUGAAGACUGA
rnacentral:rRNA from 1 species